GACGAACGCUGGCGGCGUGGAUUAGGCAUGCAAGUCGAACGGUAGGAUACCUUCGGGUAUCUGAGAGUGGCGAACGGGUGAGUAACACGUAGGUGAUCUACCCUCAAGAUUGGGACAACCCAGGGAAACUUGGGCUAAUACCGGAUGAAAGCAGCAGUGAUGUUGUUUGAAAGGUGGCGUAAGCUGCCGUUUGGGGAUGAGCCUGCGCUCUAUUAGUUAGUUGGCGGGGUAAAGGCCCACCAAGGCGAUGAUAGAUAGGCGGCCUUAACGGGUGGUCGCCCACACUGGGAUUGAGAUACGGCCCAGACUCCUACGGGAGGCAGCAGUCGAGAAUAGUCUACAAUGGCCGAAAGGCUGAUAGUGCGACGCCGCGUGAACGAAGAAGCCCUUCGGGGUGUAAAGUUCUUUUAUAUGUGAGCAGUGCUUUCUAUGUGAACAGCAUGGGGAGAGAGAUAUUAGCAUAUGAAUAAGCAAACGGCUAAACUCCGUGCCAGCAAGCCCG
rnacentral:rRNA from 1 species